rnacentral:misc_RNA from 1 species
CUAUGGCUUCUCUGCUGUUG